CAUCCGGCUGAUGGUCAUGGAGAUCCGCAAUGCUUAUGUGAGGAGGGACCCAGCGGAGACCUUGGUUCUCCAGGACGAUGACCGGGGGCACACGAGGCUGAGGCACCAGUUUCUGAUUAUCCAACUGAGUGGACAAAGAUGGGCAAGUGGCCUGCGGGGAUCGGGCCUGCUGGAUGCUUGAUGCACGACUGCUUGAUGCUUGAGUGCUGUGGGAGACAGGUGCUCAGAUAUUGCUGGUGAGAGUGGAAACCAAAGGUGGUCUUUUUGGAAGGUAAUUUGGCAUAACCAUCCAAAUUGAAACUGUAUACAUACUAUACAUAUGCUGACCCAGAAAUUCUACUUAUAAAGAAU
rnacentral:lncRNA from 1 species